UGCCGUUGAGAUUGCAGUGAGACGCGGAGAAAAAUGUGAAGUGGUGCUCCUCACAAUAGAACAUCUUUGAUGGGACGUGUCGCGUCUCGGCCAAUCAGCGUUCAGAUGUCCACAUCGUUUGGGGGUUCAGCACCGCCGUGAGCUGAGAAGAGUCAAAUAUCGAUACGGCAACCUCACAGCACACAUACCCCUGAAAGAGAAAGAAGAAGAGUGGAGUAAUGAGAAAGACAGCAUGGCACGCUCGCCCCUCGCCACAUCCUGGCAUCGUCUGGCAUCGUCUGGUCCAAGGCCACUCGGAGGCGUCAGCAGCUACGAUCUCAAAAAGCAUCAACUUGAAGUCUCCAGCACGAUCUGUGAAUGAGCUGCGGCUUUCAUUCAGUUCACUUUGGAGUGUGUAGCUCGAUGUACAAGCUUUUGAUUUUUGUUUGA